rnacentral:rRNA from 1 species
GACGAACGCUGGCGGCGUGCCUAAUACAUGCAAGUCGAACGAGAGCGCCCGGUGCUUGCACUGGUCAAUCUAGUGGCGAACGGGUGAGUAACACGUGGGUAACCUGCCCAUCAGAGGGGGAUAACAUCCGGAAACGGAUGCUAAAACCGCAUAGGUCUUCGAACCGCAUGGUUUGAAGAGGAAAAGAGGCGCAAGCUUCUGCUGAUGGAUGGACCCGCGGUGCAUUAGCUAGUUGGUGAGGUAACGGCUCACCAAGGCCGUGAUGCAUAGCCGACCUGAGAGGGUGAUCGGCCACAUUGGGACUGAGACACGGCCCAAACUCCUACGGGAGGCAGCAGUAGGGAAUCUUCCGCAAUGGACGCAAGUCUGACGGAGCAACGCCGCGUGAGUGAAGAAGGUUUUCGGAUCGUAAAACUCUGUUGUUAGAGAAGAACAAGUGCUAGAGUAACUGUUAGCGCCUUGACGGUAUCCAACCAGAAAGCCACGGCUAACUACGUG